UCGUCUCUCAGGAUGGCGAGCAGCAGCGGCUCCAAGGCCGAAUUCAUUGUCGGAGGGAAAUAUAAACUGGUACGGAAGAUCGGGUCUGGCUCCUUCGGGGACAUUUACCUGGCGAUCAACAUUACCAACGGCGAGGAAGUGGCAGUGAAGCUAGAAUCUCAGAAGGCCAGGCAUCCCCAGUUGCUGUACGAGAGCAAACUCUAUAAGAUUCUUCAAGGUGGGGUGGGCAUCCCCCACAUACGGCGGUAUGGUCAGGAAAAAGACUAUAAUGUGCUAGUCAUGGAUCUUCUUGGACCCAGCCUCGAAGACCUCUUCAAUUUCUGUUCAAGAAGGUUCACAAUGAAAACUGUACUUAUGUUAGCUGACCAGAUGAUCAGUAGAAUUGAAUAUGUGCAUACAAAGAAUUUUAUACACAGAGACAUUAAGCCAGAUAACUUCCUAAUGGGUAUUGGGCGUCACUGUAAUAAGUUAUUCCUUAUUGAUUUUGGUUUGGCCAAAAAGUACAGAGACAGCAGGACAAGGCAACACAUACCAUACAGAGAAGAUAAAAAUCUCACUGGCCCUGCCCGAUGCACUAGCAUCAAUUUACAUCUUGGUAUUGAACAGAGUCGCCGAGAUGACAUGGAAUCAUUAGGAUAUGUUUUGACGUCUUUUAAUAGAACCAGCCUGCCAUGGCAAGGACUAAAGGCUGCAACAGAAAAGCAAAAAUACGAAAAGAUGAGUGAAAAGAAGAUGUCCACUCCUGUUGAAGUUUUAUGUAAGGGGUUUCCUGCAGAAUUUGCCAUGUACUUAAACUAUUGUCGUGGGCUGCGCUUUGAGGAAGCCCCGGAUUACAUAUAUCUGAGGCAGCUAUUCCGCAUUCUUUUCAGGACCCUGAACCCACCAAUAUGACUACACAUUUGAUUGGACAAUGUUAAAGCAGAAAGCAGCACAGCAGGCGGCCUCUUCAAGUGGGCAGGGCCAGCAGGCCCAAACCCCCACAGGCAAGCAAACGGACAAAACCAAGAGUAACAUGAAAGGUUUCUAAGCAUGAAUUGAGGAACAGAAGAAGCAGAGCAGAUGAUGGGAGCAGCAUUUGUUUCUCCCCAAAUCUAGGAAUUUUAGUUCAUAUGUACACUAGCCAGUGGUUGUGAACAACCAUUUACUUGGUGU